rnacentral:rRNA from 1 species
AACGAACGCUGGCGGCGUGGAUUAGGCAUGCAAGUCGAACGAUCCGCUGUAAUGUGGAGAGUGGCAAAAGGGUGAGUAACGCAUAGGUAAUCUGCCUUAUGGUUCGGAAUAACCUUGCGAAAGCGAGGUUAAUACCGGAUAACAUCCUUGACACAUAAGUGUCGAGGAUUAAAGCUGGGGACCCCAACAGGGCCUGGUGCCAAAAGAGGAGCCUGUGUCCUAUCAGCUUGUUGGUAGGGUAACGGCCUACCAAGGCUAAGACGGGUAGCCGGCCUGAGAGGGUGUACGGCCACACUGGGACUGAGACACGGCCCAGACUCCUACGGGAGGCAGCAGUAGGGAAUAUUGCGCAAUGGGCGAAAGCCUGACGCAGCGACACCGCGUGGAGGAUGAAGGUUUUCGGAUCGUAAACUCCUGUCAAUAGAGGAGGAAGGCAUAUAAGGUGAAUAGCCUUUUAUGUUGACAGUACUCUGUAAGGAAGCCCCGGCCAACUACGUGCCAGCAGCCGCGGUAAGACGUAGGGGGCGAGCGUUGUCCGGAAUCAUUGGGCGUAAAGCGCACGCAGGCGGCUUUCCAAGUCAAAUGUGAAAUCUCCUGGUAAAACUAGGAAAUUGCAUUCGAUACUGGAUCGCUUGAGUUCGGGAGAGGAGAGUGGAAUUCCCGGUGUAGCGGUGAAAUGCGCAGAUAUCGGGAGGAACACCAUUAGCGAAGGCGGCUCUCUGGAACGAUACUGACGCUAAGGUGCGAAAGCUAGGGGAGCAAACAGGAUUAGAUACCCUGGUAGUCCUAGCUGUAAACGUUGGGCACUAGAUGUAGGGAGAUAUUGACUCUCCCUGUAUCGUAGCUAACGCGUUAAGUGCCUCGCCUGGGGAGUACGACCGCAAGGUUAAAACUCAAAGGAAUUGACGG